GUCGACGGACUUACCGAAAUAUUUAUAUUUUGGAGCGGUUAGUGGCGGACUGGUGAGUAACGCGUAAGCAAUCUGCCUAUUAGAGGGGAAUAACAGUGAGAAAUCACUGCUAAUACCGCAUAUGCCAUGAACAUCGCAUGAUGAAAAUGGGAAAGGAGUAAUCCGCUAAUAGAUGAGCUUGCGUCUGAUUAACUAGUUGGUGUGGUAAUGGCAUACCAAGGUAACGAUCAGUAGCCGGACUGAGAGGUUGAACGGCCACAUUGGGACUGAGAUACGGCCCAGACUCCUACGGGAGGCAGCAGUCGGGAAUAUUGCGCAAUGGAGGAAACUCUGACGCAGUGACGCCGCGUAUAGGAUGAAGGUUUUCGGAUUGUAAACUAUUGUCAUUAGGGAAGAUAAAAGACAGUACCUAANGAGGAAGCUCCGGCUAACUACGUGCCAGCAGCCGCGGUAAUACGUAGGGAGCAAGCGUUAUCCGGAUUUAUUGGGUGUAAAGGGUGCGUAGACGGGAGAUUAAGUUAGUUGUGAAAGCCCUUGGCUUAACUGAGGAAUUGC
rnacentral:rRNA from 1 species